UAACGAGUUAGGGCCUCCGUGCCCGACCUCCAACCCUCUUGUAUCACAAAACCUCGUUGCCUCGGGGGUGGCCCUGCCUCACGGCGGGCCCCCCGGAGGACCACUCAAACACUGCAUUUUAAUGUCGUCUGAGUUAGAUUUUAAAUGAAAUCAAAACUUUCAACAACGGAUCUCUUGGUUCUGGCAUCGAUGAAGAACGCAGCGAAAUGCGAUAAGUAAUGUGAAUUGCAGAAUUCAGUGAAUCAUCGAAUCUUUGAACGCAUAUUGCGCCCCUUGGUAUUCCUUGGGGCACACCUGUUCGAGCGUCAUUUCACCAAUCAAGCCUCGCUUGGUGUUGGGCGAUGCGCACGUCGCACGCCUCAAAUGCCCCGGCCGAGCAGUCUCUCACCCGGCGUCGUGGAAACAUACCGCUACGGAGACGAGACCUGCCCGUGCCGCAGAAUAACCUAUUUUCUAAAGGUUGACCUCGGAUCAGGUGGGGAUACCCGCUGAACUUAA
rnacentral:rRNA from 1 species